ACUAGUGUUGGGAAUUGGUUAAAAUCUCAUUAUUGAUGAUUGGUUCAUUACAACCGAUCAGUCAUCAAAAUAGUCGGUUAGCGUCAGUUAUCAAAUUUUCGUAUUAUGUUUGUUAAUGCACACCAAAAAAUA